GUAGAGAGAAGCUGCUCUCUGAGAGCGGCGACGGGUGAGUAAAGCCUAGGAAUCUGCCUGGUAGUGGGGGAUAACGUCGGAAACGGACGCUAAUACCGCAUACGUCCUACGGGAGAAAGCAGGGACCUUCGGGCCUUGCGCUAUCAGAUGAGCCUAGGUCGGAUUAGCUAGUUGGUGAGGUAAUGGCUCACCAAGGCGACGAUCCGUAACUGGUCUGAGAGGAUGAUCAGUCACACUGGAACUGAGACACGGUCCAGACUCCUACGGGAGGCAGCAGUGGGGAAUAUUGGACAAUGGGCGAAAGCCUGAUCCAGCCAUGCCGCGUGUGUGAAGAAGGUCUUCGGAUUGUAAAGCACUUUAAGUUGGGAGGAAGGGCAUUAACCUAAUACGUUAGUGUUUUGACGUUACCGACAGAAUAAGCACCGGCUAACUCUGUGCCAGCAGCCGCGGUAAUACAGAGGGUGCAAGCGUUAAUCGGAAUUACUGGGCGUAAAGCGCGCGUAGGUGGUUUGUUAAGUUGGAUGUGAAAUCCCCGGGCUCAACCUGGGAACUGCAUUCAAAACUGACUGACUAGAGUAUGGUAGAGGGUGGUGGAAUUUCCUGUGUAGCGGUGAAAUGCGUAGAUAUAGGAAGGAACACCAGUGGCGAAGGCGACCACCUGGACUAAUACUGACACUGAGGUGCGAAAGCGUGGGGAGCAAACAGGAUUAGAUACCCUGGUAGUCCACGCCGUAAACGAUGUCAACUAGCCGUUGGGAGCCUUGAGCUCUUAGUGGCGCAGCUAACG
rnacentral:rRNA from 1 species